GAAGCUGGCUGGCUGAGAAUAAGAAAAUACAGUAUGUGAGCGCUUGGAGGAAAAACUGUAGGUUGCAAUAGUGAAAGGGAGGAGGAUUUUGAGCAAAAGAAGAAACUUGUGUUGUUAGGAGCUGCGGCAAAGCUAUUCAUUGCCUGAGUAGCCAAGCAUGUCAAGGUUUCUGCUGGAAAGGAAGACACCACUUUCUAGGAAUAUCUCUGUGAAAUGGCUCACACAGACUGUGGACCAGGGAAGGAUGCUGCUAUGGAUGCAUGGUCUCUCCAAGGCACCAACUGAAUCCAGCAUCUGUGUAGAGAGAAGAGAUUCAGCCCCAAGAUGAGAUCCAGGAAUCUAGAAUGUACUCAGGGAGAUGAAGACUACAGCCUACUCAUUCCAUCACUUUAUGCACCCCUCCCCUCUUUCUCCUCUCUCUCGCAGUAUGGUGCAUUACAGACCAACUAAGGAUUCAAGAAAAGGAAAUGAGCCUUGCACCAUAAAUAUUUACUGAGAAGUACCUGAAUCCUAGAAGAAACAUAUACCUUAAAUUUUAGUUAUUGGGAGAACAAAUAUGAGAAAAAGCCAUGCUCUCAAACCUGGCAGAGGCUUUCUCCAGGAUUUAAGUGAUUUCCAGUGCCUUACAAGAAUACUUCCCAUGUGUGGAGGAGAAGUUCAAUGCACUAAAUUGAUGUGGCACAGUACGCCAGUGGGAGUUACAACGAAAGUGAAAUCCAAAGAAUUCCAAGAGAACUACACCUGCAGAUCAUGCUCCAUUCAUUUUUGUACUUUCCCCUACUCAGUCUUUAAACCUAUAUUGUUGCAAUUUCCAAAGGGAGCUCAAUGCCUAGAUUCCAGGCCCCUUGAUCUGAGCCCAUGGUCGUACAAACCUCAGUGUCCAUAUCCUACUGAAACCCUGCCCCGAGGAAAGCAUGUGUUUUUUUUCAGAACUACUUAUUUUGCUCCUAGAUUUUUUUUUUAAAUUUUACUCUUUGAUAUUUAUUGACCUUGAUUAUAUACUAAACUGUUUUUGUUUGUUUGUAUUUUAUUGUGGUUAUGUUCUCUUUAAGGUGCAUUAAAGUGUUGUAAAACAUAGUAUAUUCUCUAAAUAAAAAAGAGAAAAUUUUAAAUUAAAAGA
rnacentral:lncRNA from 1 species